GUGGGUGUAGCUCAAGUGGUAGAGCACAUGCUUAGCAGGCAUGCGGCCCUGGGUUCAAUCCCCAGUACUGGCC
rnacentral:tRNA from 1 species